rnacentral:lncRNA from 10 species
GAAUGUAUAGGACUGCCAUUCCAGUCCAUGGGUAACCUCCAAGUUAGAGGAAAGUGUCUACCAGGAGGCUGGUGUUCCUAAUGGGUGUACUUCAAAAUAACCGCAUCUUCAUCUUGCACAGCUUGACCAGAAAGCCCCUCCGUGUUUGCUUUCCCAUGGCACUCUAGGGUCAUGGCAACUUGGUGGUUCUUCCUCAGGCCCUCUCUGCCCUGGACAUGUCUGCAUGAUCUAUGUCUUCUCUCUAACCCUACCAAGGCGGUAGAGGCAAUUACUUGAGAAUGUUAUUAAUACUUCCAAGCUUGUUUGGGGAUAUAGUUUUUAUUUAGAAAUUAUUAUUGUUGUUAAGAGGAUACAGUUUGUAUUUGGAAAACAAUCAACAUUUAUCUGGAGUUUCUAUCAGUUUUUCUUCCCUCAAACUCAUGUCAGAAAUGGAACAGAGAUUACAGGAUCCCUUUCUCAGGGAUGCAUGCCAACUUGAAUCUUCCAGUCCUCAUCAAGCCCCUGUACUUGUCAGGACUGGCCCUGCCUGGGGACAGUAUGCCUUACAUGGCUCAAUCUCAUGGUUUGGUUUUCAUGGAGCAAAGGCCAAGAGAUUUUAAAAAGGGAAAGAUUACGUCACACCAUCUGUAUCGUACAGUGACCACCAGUAUAAUUCUACUUAAAAUAAAGCAAAACAAAAGAAGAUAAUUGUGAUUCAUGCUGUGUCCACUGUAAAGCAAAAUAAGAAUUUUCACCCUUUAUGAAAUAUUCAAAUAAUUUUAUGCCAUCUUUUGUAACAUGAAAUGUAACUUGAAACCAUAACAGAGUUGGUUCAGCUGUUUCCUGGAGAAGGGCCUGGCACAGUGUUUGAAUUCUCUAGCAUGAAGAUACCUUCCAGAAGGCCGAGUAGGAGUGGAUUGCCAAGGUUCUGCUUCACGCCUUGAUGAACAUAAACCAACAUUUCUCACCAGUGAAGACUCAGAUUAUGGUGCUGAAAAUAUGUUUCAUCACAAGAUGACAGGUGGCCCAGCAGCAGCAGUUACUGCCUAUUCAUGAACCAUUUUAUCACAGAAUAGAACCACGUACAUAUUGACAAAGACAUCUUUGCUGUUAUUGUGGGAGUCAUGACGUCCUACAACUUCUCUGUAUCUGACGCUUUACCAGUUACAUGAAUCACCAGCUUUUUCUAAGAAAUAAUUUACACUUUUAAUUAUAGAGUCAUUUACAUAAAUUUUUUGGCUAGAUGUUUAUAGCCACAUGUUAGCUGCCAGUCUUUUUAUUUUGACAGUCUCGCUCUAUCACCCAGGCCAGAGUACAGUGACGUGAUCUCCACUCACUGCUGCAACCUCCGCCUCCUGGGUUCAAGCAAAUCUUGUGCCUCAGCCUCCCAAAUAGCUGGGAUUACAGUUGUGUGCCACCACACCCAGCUAAUUUUUGUAUUUUUUGUGUUAGCUGCCAGUCUUGAAGAAUAUUUGACUGCAGAUUCCAAGAUAAUGUUGCCUUCUCAUUGAGACCUACCCCAACUAACCUUUUAAAAAUUGCAACCCUCUUUUCAAUGCUCUGCUAUUUGUUAUUUUUUCCCUUGGCACUUAAUCACUUUUUGAUAUAUUAUGUACAUCAUUUAUUAUAUCUAUUGUUUAUUGUCCAUUUCUCUCCACUAAGAGGUAAGAGCAGAGACCUAUUUUCAUUCACUAAUGUAUCAAAAAUAUCUGACACAUAGUUGAUGCUCAUUAAUAUUUAUUGAAUGAGUGAGUUUGCUUGUAGAUAUCCUCCUAGACAAAGUUGCAAGAUUAACUCAGUGGAGAAUGCUUAUGUCAUUCCUUCUGUGAAAAAGAAUUACUUUGAUCACAUCUCGUCACCUAUGAGAUUCGGUCCAACUCUUCAGUUUCAUAAUUGGCCCUCAAACUGUGUCUUCGAGCUCCUACUUUUCUUUUAUAGUAACUCAAUGUGUAAUCAUAGUGUAACCAUAGCAAAGUAAUAGCUACGUUCCUUCACAUGGUAUUCGUCUUUCUAGGCAGCAAGGCUUUCCCUGUGUAUUAUUUAGCUAUGUGGCAUAAUAAGGCAUAAAAAUCUGUCUCAAAACCCAGGGCAGUGUCUUAAGGCAACACACAUUUUUGGUUUUUCACUUAAGCGUUGUGUGGGGCAGCUUUGAUUCAGGCUGGGCUCAGCUGGGAUCUGCUGGGCUUGGCUCCAGUUGGUAGGUUGGAAUUAGAUCAGCUUUGUGUGCCUCCUCAUUCUUCCUGGACCAGCAGCUAUUCAGAGUAUAUUCUCUUUCUGGCAGAUUAUCGAAUGCAAGGGGCCACAUGCUAGCACAUUUAUGGGCUCUGCUUGCAUCAUGACUGCUCCCUUCCACUGACUAAAGCAAGACACAUAGUCAAGCCCAAUAUCAAUGUAGUGGAGAAAUAUGUUCUAACCGAAGGAGAAGAGAUAGGUAAGUGGUAGAUAUGUUCUACCAAAAGAUAAAAGAAGUAGAUGACAAUAUUUUCUGAUCAACACAGUGUGUAUCUCACACAUUAUUCCUUGUUGGCAUAUCCAUCAUGACCUAGCACAAAUGUUGCCUACUUUAUGAACCCUCUCUAUUGCAGUAGGUAGUCAGGUCUGAAUUUUGAAAUCCAGUGCACUCUGCUUACAGCUAUUCAUUAAGGCAUAGGCUUGUCUCUUCUCCUGGGCUCUAAAGAUCUGAGACAAUUUCCUAUUAAAAUUUCUAUUCCCAAUAUCUACCAUACAACCUAGCAAGUUAUACACUUAAUAGAUGUCAUUUGUAUAAGAAUGUAGAUAAUCCCAUUAAAGAAAACCAACCCCAUUCAGAUUCCAUCAAUGUCAGCUUUGUGUCUAUCUGAAAUGAGAAAACUACCAUAUGAAACUUAGUAGAUAUUGCAUUAAAUGUAGCACAUUUAGGAAGUGUUCCCAUAUAAAACUGACUAGAAGCAGGUGAUUUGAAAUUAAAUUCCAUAAUUAAAUACCAUAUAGCAUGCUAAAGUGUUCAGUACAAUUUGCCAAGGGUUUUUCCACAGAAAGUGAUGGAAAAUUCUUUGGUAGAAAUUGAUGUUGAAUGUUUAGAGCCUUGACAGAAAGAACUCCUUAGCAGUCAAAAAUGUAGAAUAUUCUUCGCUUUCUCUCAGAGUUCUGCUACAAAAAUCUCAGUUUUGUUUCAGUUUUU